UGGGGAAUAUUGGACAAUGGGGGCAACCCUGAUCCAGCAAUACCGCGUGUGUGAAGAAGGCCUUCGGGUUGUAAAGCACUUUAGGUUGGGAAGAAGUCGUGUAGUUUAAGAGAUGACACGAUUGACGGUACCGACAGAAUAAGCACCGGCUAACUCUGUGCCAGCAGCCGCGGUAAUACAGAGGGUGCAAGCGUUAAUCGGAGUUACUGGGCGUAAAGGGCGCGUAGGCGGUUAUUUAAGUGAGAUGUGAAAGCCCUGGGCUUAACCUAGGAACUGCAUCUUAUACUGGAUAACUGGAGUACUGUAGAGGGUAGUGGAAUUUCCGGUGUAGCGGUGAAAUGCGUAGAGAUCGGAAGGAACACCAGUGGCGAAGGCGGCUACCUGGACAGAUACUGACGCUGAGGCGCGAGAGCGUGGGGAGCAAACAG
rnacentral:rRNA from 1 species